CUACGGGGCGCUGCAGUAGGGAAUAUUGCACAAUGGGCGAAAGCCUGAUGCAGCAACGUCGCGUGUGCGAUGAAGGCCUUCGGGUCGUAAAGCACUUUUCGGGAGGAUGAGAAAGGACAGUACUCCCGGAAUAAGUCUCGGCUAACUACGUGCCAGCAGCCGCGGUAACACGUAGGAGGCAAGCGUUAUCCGGAUUUACUGGGCGUAAAGCGCGUGCAGGUGGUUUGGUAAGUUGGAUGUGAAAUCUCCCGGCUCAACUGGGUGAGGUCGUUCAAAACUGCUGGACUAGAGGACGGUAGAGGAAAGUGGAAUUCCCGGUGUAGUGGCGAAAUGCGUAGAUAUCGGGAGGAACACCAGUGGCGAAAGCGACUUUCUGGCCCGUUCCUGACACUAAGACGCGAAAGCUAGGGUAGCAAACGGGAUUAGAUACCCUAGUAGUC
rnacentral:rRNA from 1 species